rnacentral:lncRNA from 1 species
AAGAGGGCUUCCUUCAGAGAAGUUCAAGAUUAAAGGACUUUUGGCUAAGGGACACAGCAAACCCAAGUUGAUGUACACCUGGUAUUACUUCACCAGCACGGGACAUACAAGUGGGAGUUAACCAUCUGUAACUCAACUUCCUUCCCUCUCACUUAAAGAGAAACACAUGAGAAUCCAGGUAAGAGUGAUAUUAAAUUUUCUCCAAUUUAUUUUUAUGUAAGUCACUCACAAAUAUUCCAUUAUUAGUAACAACAAAUUAUUAGUAGCACAAAUUACUUGCAAUGUAAUUUCAAACUGUCACCAGAAGAGAUACCUGUUGCUUACCCCUGUGAUGACAACUUAUUCUUUCUCAAACCUCCUACUGUUCUCUAUCCAUAACCACCCAC